AGAAAUACGUCGCAGCAUCCCCCAGCUGCGAGUCGGAGAUCUCCAGGCUGAAGGACUUAGCUGCUUUCUGGAAGUUCACAGAGAAGCGGUUUAACGUUGCAUUAUACUGCUUGUAUGCUUCUUGGAGAAUGACGAGAGUCACCUGCCCUCCUUGCUGUUUGUACCAGAACAAGAGCCACCCUCAUCAUCUUUUAUUGAUGCCAAUUGACAAAACCUGGAUCUGCCCACUACACAUCUAUUUAUACAGCUACUUCUUCCAUGUCUGCACAGAUGCUGAGAUCUGAGGUUUCUGUUAGACCCUCUCUGUUGCCUGCGUCACUGUGGCUCCCCCUGAGUGCACAGAAAUACGUCGCAGCAUCCCCCAGCUGCGAGUCGGAGAUCUCCAGGCUGAAGGACUUAGCUGCUUUCUGGAAGUUCACAGAGAAGCGGUUUAACGUUGCAUUAUACUGCUUGUAUGCUUCUUGGAGAAUGACGAGAGUCACCUGCCCUCCUUGCUGUUUGUACCAGAACAAGAGGUUGAAGUCUCUUGCUCUGAUCAUUGUCUUCUAUGUGUGCUGGCAGUUCUUCAAAGCAGGAAAGCUUUCACAGGAAAACUGAAGUAAGUACUCUUGAAACCCAGAUGAACAGGUAAGUUCUUGGGCCUCUCUCAAUGGGGUUUAGGUAAAGGCUGCAGGUGCCUGAGGGUCACCGUGUGCUCAGUUCAUAGAACAGAGUUGAGUCUUGGAGCUUGGAAUCCUUUGUGAGCAGGGAAAAGAGCUGGCCUCCUAGAAACAGCCUGCUUGUGAAUCUUCUACUGAUCUUCUCUUUAACCGCUGGAAACAUCACCUCAAGGUGAUGAGGCUCCCCUCGGGAUCCUGUCCAGACCACCUGAAGACAUUGGAAGCUCUGUCUUGGUAACUACAGCUCACUGUGAAGUCUUUACCUUCCUUAUCUAUCAGGGAAGUAUCUGUUCUACCAGUGCCUGUCCAUUUGACCCUGCUUAAGGAAAAACAAAGAGACUUUCAUUCAUAAAAAUGCUUUAGUAUUCAUGUCUAGAAUUUUCCUUAUUUGUCCUAUAUCUCUUAGAAUAAUCUCUUUGUUGUCCUGAUUCCCUGUAUUUCAUUGCCAGGGCACACGUGUGCUUCUUCCACUGUCCUACCCACAGGUCAGCUGCACACAGAGGAGGAACACUGAAGCCAUCAUUAAAGCAAGACUCAUUCUUUCUUCUUCCCAAACCUCAGAGGAUGUCCUGGGCACCCACCACUGACCGUGUUCAGUAGCCCAACUAGUUGUUCUAGCUUUGAAUCUGUGUGCUUGCAUCUUGUUUUCAUAGCGAUGAAAACCUUCCUGUCAUGUGAUACAGUGCCUGCCUUCCCUCUGCUGACUCUUCCACUUUCUAGUUGUCAGCAGAUAGUUCUGUCACACGGUAGAAAAUUUAAAUGAAAACCCUCUGUUUUUUGUUUUCCUUUAAUCUGAGGUAACUGAAUACAUUACAUUAAAGGAAGAUAGAACAGAAAUGCAAAGCAAACAAAGGAGAGAAAUCCACGCGAUGUCAAUGCUAUUGUAUUAAUGGUAAUUGUCUGGGAAGGUGAACAGUUUCCUGUGUUCCUGCAGAACAAUUUGGAGUAAAAUCUGUUAUUGUAUUGUA
rnacentral:lncRNA from 1 species